AAGUCGUAACAAGGUUUCCGUAGGUGAACCUGCGGAAGGAUCAUUAACACGUAUCCAAACGUUAACCCCCCUGUGAACCUUUAGUGUGCUCGUACCUUAUCUUGGUUCUC
rnacentral:misc_RNA from 1 species